rnacentral:rRNA from 1 species
UACGGAGGGUGCAAGCGUUAUCCGGAUUCACUGGGUUAAAGGGUGCGUAGGUGGGCAGGUAAGUCAGUGGUGAAAUCUCUGGGCUUAACCCGGAACUGCCGUUGAUACUAUCUGUCUUGAAUGUAGUGGAGGUGAGCGGAAUAUGUCAUGUAGCGGUGAAAUGCUUAGAUAUGACAUAGAACACCCAUUGCGAAGGCAGCUCGCUACACUAUUAUUGACACUGAGGCACGAAAGCGUGGGGAUCGAAACAGG